AGAGAGUGCGAGCGUUAAUCGGAAUUACUGGGCGUAAAGCGCGCGUAGGUGGGUAUUUAAGUUGGAUGUGAAAUCCCUGGGCUUAACCUAGGAAUUGCACCCAAUACUGGAUACCUAGAGUAUGGUAGAGGGAAGUGGAAUUUCCGGUGUAGCGGUGAAAUGCGUAGAUAUCGGAAGGAACACCAGUGGCGAAGGCGACUUCCUGGACCAAUACUGACACUGAGGUGCGAAAGCGUGGGGAGCAAACAGGGAUUAGAGACCCUGGUAGUCCACGCCGUCAACGAUGAGAACUAGAUGUUGGCCCCCCUUCUAGAAACUAGUAUCUAGUUUCUAGAAGGGGUUUAGUAUCGAAGCUAACGCGUUAAGUUCUCCGCCUGGGGAGUACGGCCGCAGGUUAA
rnacentral:rRNA from 1 species